AGAUGGCUGUCCUCUGCUAAGAAGAGCAUAGGGCCACCCUAAGGGAGAGAUGCUGGAAUGAAAUUGUCCUUUCUCCCUACGAUGGUCAUAUCCCAGCUGCAGUGUUGAUUUUGUUUGCUCUCAGUAAAGGCUUUUCCUUCUGUCCUGCUUCCCAUGGCUUCACAGUUGGUACUUAUAGUGCCGAAAACACUCUGCUCGGCUAAGCAAUGCUAUUGAGGCCUUGGACUGCGUCCAAAUCCCCACUGAGCCACAGAGCUCCCUGGGUGGUCCCGGACAUGCCUGCCUCUCUUUCGUCAAUCACCCCUCACCCACUUCAACAUUCAUGUGAUUUGCUGCAUCCUCCUGAAGAUCAGAGCCCCAUCAAACAUGCCACAGUAUUUGAUUUGUUUUUCUCAUGGCAAGUUUUCAAUGCAGAAAGAAGAAUAAGAAGAAUAAAAAGACAAGUAUUUACAUAUCUGUAGGAAUAACUGUGCUUUUGUAUUUGCAGGUUGCGGAAAAAGAUUUCUCCCCGAGUUCAGCUGGACAUUUGGGGACAGGUUUCUGCUUGCUUUUUCCUCUUCCCCUUGUUAAGGAUCGGAAGUUGUUUCUCAAGUGAGACCAGAUCAGACCAGACCGGCCUGGGGGCCAGCAAGCCCACUGCCCUGGCUCCCAGAGAAGCUCCAGCACCUGCUCUUUCAGAAGGAGCAACGCUACCAGGAUCCAUCCAGCACAAAAGCACCCAUCCUUGCCACAGCAGCUGGGGCUGCCAUAAACAUGCUGUGCCAUUUCAGCCACUGCAAACACACCUUUGGCCACUGUGGACACAGCCAAGGUGUGUGGAAUGAAUGACAGGCCAAACGCUCAUUCCCCAUAUCUGCCCUUAAGCAAUGUACUAUACUGGGGAUGGAAUAAAUGAGUAAGGAAAACCUCAAAUCCCAGGUUGGAUGCAGGUUCCUUGUUAUUUUUGCACCCAUUUAGGUGAGAGGGCAAAUAUGCAAUUGAAAGAACUUUCUCACCUUGAUCCCUAUGUAGAUAAAGAAAGGAAACAUGAGGACACAACUUUAUCCUUAGUGGGGCCACUAUGCCUCAUGGGAAGACAAAAA